rnacentral:rRNA from 1 species
AGUGAACGCUGGCGGUAGGCCUAACACAUGCAAGUCGAACGGCAGCACAGUAAGAGCUUGCUCUUACGGGUGGCGAGUGGCGGACGGGUGAGGAAUACAUCGGAAUCUACUUUUUCGUGGGGGAUAACGUAGGGAAACUUACGCUAAUACCGCAUACGACCUACGGGUGAAAGCAGGGGAUCUUCUGACCUUGCGCGAUUGAAUGAGCCGAUGUCGGAUUAGCUAGUUGGCGGGGUAAAGGCCCACCAAGGCGACGAUCCGUAGCUGGUCUGAGAGGAUGAUCAGCCACACUGGAACUGAGGCACGGACCAGACUCCUGCGGGAGGCAGCAGUGGGGAAUAUUGGACAAUGGGCGCAAGCCUGAUCCAGCCAUACCGCGUGGGUGAAGAAGGCCUUCGGGUUGUAAAGCCCUUUUGUUGGGAAAGAAAAGCAGCAGGUUAAUACCCCGCUGUUCUGACGGUACCCAAAGAAUAAGCACCGGCUAACUUCGUG